UACGGUCAUGUCAUAUUCAGACACUGGUUCUCAUAAAAUCACCAAAGUUAAGCACUGUUGGACCUGGUCAGUACCUAGAUGAGUGACUACUUGGGAAUACCUGGUGCU